CCCUUAGAUGUUCUGGGCAGCACGCGCGCUACAAUGGUCUUCGCAAACGGAUGCAUUCUCGAAGGAGAAUGCCAAUCUUGGAAUCUAUGCCUUGGUCGGGACAGUUGCUUGCAAUUUUUCGACUCGAACCAGGAAUUCCUUGUAAUCGUGAUUCAUCACAUCACGAUGAAUACGUCCCUGCCCUUUGUACACACCGCCCGUCGCUCCUACCGAUCGAAGAGUUAGGUGAAUUGUUUUGAUCGAUAAGAUUUGACUAUGGUCAACUCUCGUUGUGAAAUUCUGUGAAUCUGACUGUUUAGAGGAAGGAAAAGGCGCAACA
rnacentral:rRNA from 1 species